AGCAUGCAGCGGAUAACCAGCGCUGCCGUUCCGCAACGGACACGCAUCCAGUGGAAUUCCGGCGUAGUCUGCGCUUUCCUCAUAGGCAGCUGCAGGCCAAUGUCAUCCACUCUCAUUGUGCUGCAAUGGAGGUUCGCGGAGCCUCUCAAUAGUUCCCGGAAGUAAGUGGCACAUGCUAGCAGCACAAUGGAGUUACAGCAGAAAAGACCGGCUUUGAUGUACUUUUAAUGGGAGCACUGGGUGGUGGAGGAGCAGUGAUGCUGCAGGACCACUGUGUGAGAGAGGACGCUGCAGAUAAGUGCUGAGUCGACCUUGGUGAGACUUAAAACUUAACAAGCACAAGAACAACAGGGGGAUGCAAUGGAGCCUGAACUCACCCCGCAAUGAACAACCCCCUUACCCUGAGUCUCAGCUCCGUGGGUUUUGCAAGCCUUUCCCUGUUCCUUAUUUUUAAUAAACCAAACACUGAGAUUCCCAA